rnacentral:rRNA from 1 species
CCUACGGGACGCAGCAGUGAGGGAUAUUGCACAAUGGGGGGAACCCUGAUGCAGCGACGCCGCGUGAUUGAAGAAGCGUUUAGGCGCGUAAAGCCCUAUCGGCAGGGAAGCAAAUGACGGUACCUGACCGAGAAGCCCCGGCUAACUACGUGCCAGCAGCCGCGGUCAUACGUCGGGGGCAAGCGUUAUCCGGGUUUACUGGGUGUAAAGGGGGCGCAGACGGAAAUGCAAGCCAGGUGUGAAGGCCCGGGGCCCAACCCCGGGACUGCUCUUGAAACUGCAUGGCUUGAGUACAGGAGGGGUAGGCGGAAUUCGUGGUGUAGCGGUGAAAUGCGUAGAUAUCAGGAGGAACACCGGUGGCGAAGGCGGCCUACUGGACUGUGACUGACGCUGAGGCCCGAAGGCGUGGGGAGCAAACAGGAUUAGAUACCCGAGUAGUC